UACAGAGGUCUCAAGCGUUGUUCGGAUUCAUUGGGCGUAAAGGGUGCGUAGGUGGCGGGGUAAGUCAGGUGUGAAAUUUCGGAGCUUAACUCCGAAACUGCAUUUGAUACUGCCUUGCUUGAGGACUGGAGAGGAGACUGGAAUUCACGGUGUAGCAGUGAAAUGCGUAGAGAUCGUGAGGAAGACCAGUGGCGAAGGCGGGUCUCUGGACAGUUCCUGACACUGAGGCAGCGAAGGCCAAGGGG
rnacentral:rRNA from 1 species